UUAGCUCUCUUUGCCUUUUGGCUUAGAUCAAGUGUAGUAUCUGUUCUUGUGAGUUUUCCCUCCUCCGCCUUCGAUCUUUCAAUCUUUGCUAACAACCUUCGCAGUUCAGUUUAAUCUCUGAAAUGGCGCUAAGGCGUCAAUCAAUGAUUAUACUUAUUUUUGUCCCUCGGAGGAUGGUCUCUGGGCUUGCUCAUACCGUCUUCCACCGUGUCUCUGGUAUUACACUGCCUCCAGACGAUGCGAACCUUUU
rnacentral:snRNA from 1 species